UAGCUGGCCGCGCAAGUCCAUCGGAAAAUCCACCCGCUCAACGGGUGGGCGUCCGGUGGAAACUGCGUGGCUUGGGACCGGAAGGCGCGACGGGUACGUCCGGGGUAGGAGUGAAAUCCCGUAAUCCUGGACGGACCGCCGAUGGCGAAAGCACGUCGCGAGGACGGAUCCGACAGUGAGGGACGAAAGCCAGGGUCUCGAACCGGAUUAGAUACCCGGGUAGUCCUGGCCGUAAACAAUGUCUGUUAGGUGUGGCUCCCACUACGAGUGGGUGCUGUGCCGUAGGGAAGCCGCUAAACAGACCGCCUGGGAAGUACGUCCGCAAGGAUGAAACUUAAAGGAAUUGGCGGGGGAGCACUACAACCGGAGGAGCCUGCGGUUUAAUUGGACUCAACGCCGGACAUCUCACCAGCAUCGACUGUAGUAAUGACGAUCAGGUUGAUGACCUUAUCCGAGCUUCAGAGAGGAGGUGCAUGGCCGCCGUCAGCUCGUACCGUGAGGCGUCCUGUUAAGUCAGGCAACGAGCGAGACCCGCAUCCUUACUUGCCAGCAGCACUGCGAAGUGGCUGGGGACAGUAGGGAGACCGCCGUGGCCAACACGGAGGAAGGAACGGGCAACGGUAGGUCAGUAUGCCCCGAAUGUGCUGGGCAACACGCGGGCUACAAUGGUCGAGACAAAGGGUUCCAACUCCGAAAGGAGACGGUAAUCUCAGAAACUCGAUCGUAGUUCGGAUUGUGGGCUGCAACUCG
rnacentral:rRNA from 1 species